rnacentral:rRNA from 1 species
CCUACGGGAGGCAGCAGUGAGGAAUAUUGGUCAAUGGACGAGAGUCUGAACCAGCCAAGUAGCGUGAAGGAUGACUGCUCUAUGGGUUGUAAACUUCUUUUAUAUGGGAAUAAAAUGUUCCACGUGUGGGAUUUUGUAUGUACCAUAUGAAUAAGGAUCGGCUAACUCCGUGCCAGCAGCCGCGGUAAUACGGAGGAUCCGAGCGUUAUCCGGAUUGAUUGGGUUUAAAGGGAGCGUAGGUGGAUUGUUAAGUCCGUUGUGAAAGUUUGCGGCUCAACCGUAAAAUUGCAGUUGAAACUGGCAGUCUUGAGUACAGUAGAGGUGGGCGGAAUUCGUGGUGUAGCGGUGAAAUGCUUAGAUAUCACGAAGAACUCCGAUUGCGAAGGCAGCUCACUGGACUGCAACUGACACUGAGGCUCGAAAGUGUGGGUAUCAAACAGGAUUAGAUACCCUUGUAGUC